AUGCAGCCGACGCCCGCCGUUGAGGGAUGGAGAGCCCNUUCGGGUUUGUAAACCNUCUUUUUGUUUAGGGAGCAAGGGCACUUUUGUUGUUUGAGUUGUUACCUUUUCGAAUAAGCACCGGCNAACNACGUUGCCAGCAGCNCGCGGUAAUACGUAGGGUGCAAGCGGUAUCCGGAAUACUUGGGCGUAAAGGGCUUCGUAGGCGGUUUCGUCGCGUCCGGUGUGAAAGUUCCAUCGCUUAACGGUUGGAUCCGCGCCCGGGUACGGGCGGGCUUUGAGUUGCGGUAGGGGAGACUUGGAAUUUCCCGGUUGUUAACGGUUGGAAUUGUGUAGAUUUUCGGGNAAGAACACC
rnacentral:rRNA from 1 species